GUGCCAGCAGCCGCGGUAAUACAGAGGGGGCGAGCGUUGUUCGGAAUUACUGGGCGUAAAGGGCGCGUAGGCGGCCCGCUAAGUCGAACGUGAAAUCCCCAGGCUCAACCUGGGAACUGCGUCCGAUACUGGCAGGCUUGAAUCCGGGAGAGGGAUGUGGAAUUCCAGGUGUAGCGGUGAAAUGCGUAGAUAUCUGGAGGAACACCGGUGGCGAAGGCGGCAUCCUGGACCGGUAUUGACGCUGAGGCGCGAAAGCUAGGGGAGCAAACGGGAUUAGAUACCCCGGUAGUCC
rnacentral:rRNA from 1 species